rnacentral:rRNA from 1 species
UACGGAGGGUGCGAGCGUUGUCCGGAAUCACUGGGCGUAAAGGGCGCGUAGGCGGUCUGCUAAGCGUGCGGUGAAAGCCUGGGGCUCAACCCCAGGUCUGCCGUGCGAACUGGUGGACUGGAGCACUGUAGAGGCAGGUGGAAUUCCGGGUGUAGCGGUGGAAUGCGUAGAGAUCCGGAAGAACACCGGUGGCGAAGGCGGCCUGCUGGGCAGUUGCUGACGCUGAUGCGCGACAGCGUGGGGAGCAAACAGG